rnacentral:rRNA from 1 species
UACAGAGGUGGCAAGCGUUGUUCGGAAUUACUGGGCGUAAAGGGCUCGUAGGCGGCCAACUAAGUCCGACGUGAAAUCCCAAGGCUUAACCUUGGAACUGCGUCGGAUACUGGAUGGCUUGAAUUCGGGAGAGGGAUGCAGAAUUCCAGGUGUAGCGGUGAAAUGCGUAGAUAUCUGGAGGAAUACCGGUGGCGAAGGCGGCAUCCUGGACCGACAUUGACGCUGAGGAGCGAAAGCUAGGGGAGCAAACGGG